AAUCUCCUCAUUACCACAUUCAUCAUGGCAAGAAGUCCAACGGCGAACAUAAAAUUUAAAGUAAAGAAGACUUCAGAGAAUCUGUUCUUUGUUCAUUGUGCUCCAAGAAGUAUAUAGCCGGGCCAACGUUCCAACUUCAACGGCAUUCGAGCAACAUGUUUUUCGUUUUGGCAUCUAUUUUCCUUCUACUAUCAACGAUGCAUGGAGGACGCCAGUCAUCUGCCUUUGCAGCGCUUGGUCGUUUCAGCCCUGGGCGAAGUCCUUUCCGCAACUUGCGCUCGACACCUCCUACGAGAGCUCCCCCACCUCCAACGCCUCCUCCACGUCCAAAGUCACUUCCAAAUGGAAAAAAUUACCGCUGAAGCAAUAGCAUUUGUGGUGUGGAUUCUUAUACCAUCAUCGAUGCCAAACUCAACAAAUACUACGCUUUCCAACCCUGCUCAGCACAACAUGAAUAAAA
rnacentral:misc_RNA from 1 species